rnacentral:misc_RNA from 1 species
AAGUCGUAACAAGGUUUCCGUAGGUGAACCUGCGGAAGGAUCAUUACAAAAAUAUGAGAAUAUACCCUGUGGCAACGUUGUUUCCUGUGUGUGAAUGUGUGUGCAUAUUAUUACAUAAUACAUUACACUACAUUCAAACCACAGGACAAAUUCAUCCUUAAACACACGAUCGACAAGCAAGAAUUCAUAUAAAAAAACCACUUUUAACAAUGGAUCUCUUGGCUCUU